rnacentral:rRNA from 1 species
AUGUGGCAAGAAAAACCAUGUCACAGACGAGUGCAACUGGUUGAAACAAAUCAAACAUGUACCCAAUUUGUUAGAUAUGCUGCAAGGGGGCUGGGCGUGCUACUGGUUCAGAGCGCUAACGAAGUCUUGGAAAUGGAAAACCCCAACCCUAUGGCCAUAAUCACAGUGGUUUUGGGGACAAUCAAUGAAACACAGUUGGUUGACAGACUGCAUUAUAUGUUUAACUGGAAUUGGCAGUGGAGGUGCAAGAAACAAGGAGAAAAUGCCUUCUUGGUCAGAUUCUCAAAUAAAGGAAGAUUGGUGGAGCUAAGUAAGUGCAAUGAUUUCACAUUGUUGGGCUCUGGAGCAGUUAUAAAUGUGAAGGGAUGGAGCUUUGAUUCUCAGGCAGUAGGUAAGCUUCACACCAUAUGGGCUCUGUUUGGGAAGGUCCCAGAAUGCUUUAGGCACUUCUUUGGGAUGUGUGAAGUGGCUGCAACCCUAGAGCCUGUGCUAGAAAUUGAUAUGAACACUAUUGCCAAGGAGAAGAUCAGAGCUAAGGUUGGAAUAAGAGACUAUGACAAAAUACCAGCAUUCACCGAAAUCACUGACAAAGAUUUGAUGAUAUACAAGAUUGUUCCUGAGUUGGAGAGUGUGGUGGAAAUGGGAUGGUAUGGAGAACAUAAAAGACAGGGGAAGGAGAGUUCAGAUGGAGACAAUGAUGAGGAGACUCUGAGAAAAAGACACAAGGGAGGCGAUGAGGAAGGACUUGGAAAUAAAGAGAUGAUAUCUUUGGGAAGCUUGGGAUUAGCUUAG